ACGGCUCAGUAACACGUGGAUAACCUGCCCUUGGGUCCGGCAUAACCCCGGGAAACUGGGGAUAAUUCCGGAUAACGCAUAUGUACUGGAAUGCUUUAUGCGUCAAAUGGAUUCGUCUGCCCAAGGAUGGGUCUGCGGCCUAUCAGGUAGUAGUGGGUGUAAUGUACCUACUAGCCGACAACGGGUACGGGUUGUGAGAGCAAGAGCCCGGAGAUGGAUUCUGAGACAUGAAUCCAGGCCCUACGGGGCGCAGCAGGCGCGAAAACUUUACAAUGCGGGAAACCGUGAUAAGGGGACACCGAGUGUCAGCAUCAUAUGCUGGCUGUCCAGGUGUGUAAAAUACACCUGUUAGCAAGGGCCGGGCAAGACCGGUGCCAGCCGCCGCGGUAACACCGGCGGCCCGAGUGGUGAUCGUGAUUAUUGGGUCUAAAGGGUCCGUAGCCGGUUUGGUCAGUCCUCCGGGAAAUCUGAUAGCUCAACUAUUAGGCUAUCGGGGGAUACUACCAGACUUGGAACCGGGAGAGGUAAGAGGUACUACAGGGGUAGGAGUGAAAUCUUGUAAUCCCUGUGGGACCACCUGUGGCGAAGGCGUCUUACCAGAACGGGUUCGACGGUGAGGGACGAAAGCUGGGGGCACGAACCGGAUUAGAUACCCGGGUAGUCCCAGCCGUAAACGAUGCUCGCUAGGUGUCAGGCAUGGCGCGACCGUGUCUGGUGCCGCAGGGAAGCCGUGAAGCGAGCCACCUGGGAAGUACGGCCGCAAGGCUGAAACUUAAAGGAAUUGGCGGGGGAGCAC
rnacentral:rRNA from 1 species